GACGAACGCUGGCGGCGUGCUUAACACAAGCAAGUCGUACGGUAAGGCCCUUUCGGGGGUCCACGAGUGGCGAACGGGUGAGUAACACGUGAGUAACCUGCCCACAACUUUGGGAUAACGCCUGGAAACUGGCGCUAAUACUGGUUAUGUGCCCCUGCUGCAUGGUGGGGGUUGGAAAGCUCCGGCGGUUGUGGAUGGACUCGCGGCCUAUCUGCUUGUUUGUGGGGUAGUGGCCUACCAAGGCGGCGCCGGGUAGCCGUGCUGUGAGGGUGACCGGCCAAGUUGUCUGUGCGACAGGGGCCAGACGCGAACGAGGAGGAGUGAUGGGGAGUAUUGCAGAAUGGGCGCAGGCCUGAUGCAGCAUCGCCGCGUGCGGGAUGACGCCCGACGGGUUGUAAGCCGCUUACGGCAGGGACGAAGCUUUUUGUGACGGUACGUGCAGAAGAAGCACCGGCUAACUACGUG
rnacentral:rRNA from 1 species